GAAUUGACGGGGACCCGCACAAGCAGCGGAGCGUGUGGUUUAAUUCGUUGCUACACGAAGAACCUUACCUGGUUUGACAUAUAGGUUGUAGGGAACUGAAAGGGACCGACCCUUCGGGGAGCCUAUACAGGUGUUGCAUGGCUGUCGUCAGCUCGUGUCGUGAGAUGUUCGGUUAAGUCCGCUAACGAGCGCAACCCUCGUCGUAUGUUAUAUGUGUCAUACGAGACUGCCGGUAAAAAGCCGGAGGAAGGUGAGGAUGAUGUCAAGUCAGCAUGACCUUUAUAUCCAGGGCUACACACACGCUACAAUGGUCUGUACAAUGGGUAGCCAAGCCGCGAGGCGGAGCCAAUCCUGAAAGCAGGCCUCAGUUCAGAUUGCAGUCUGCAACUCGACUGCAUGAAGCCGGAGUUGCUAGUAACCGCAGGUCAGCAAUACUGCGGUGAAUACGUUCCCGGGUCUU
rnacentral:rRNA from 1 species